CAUUUAUGUGGAUUCCUGCGUGAUUGCUUCGGUUUUCGCGUGGGGCCACGUAAGCAGGUGCUACUUCUUAGAGGGACUGGUGUCCUACAAGGCGCACGAGAAAGAGCAAUAACAGGUCUGUGAUGCCCUAAGAUGUUCGGGGCCGCACGCGUGCUACAAUGACGAUGCUAGCGAGUUUGAUAUUCUGGCUCGGAAGGGUCGGGCAAACUUUUCAAUCAUCGUCGUGACUGGGAUUGGGGUUUGUAAUUAUCCCCCAUGAACCAGGAAUUCCUAGUAAGUACAAGUCAUAAGCUUGUGCUGAUUACGUCCCUGCCCUUUGUACACACCGCCCGUCGCUACUACCGAUUGAACGGUUUAGCAAGGUCAUUGGAUUGGCCCUUAUUCGGCCUUGGUCGUUGAGGGCUGAGAAGAUGACCGAACUUGAUCGUUUAGAGGAAGUACAAGUCGUAACAAGGUUUCCGUAGGUGAACCUGCGGAAGGAUCACUA
rnacentral:rRNA from 1 species